UCCUCUCUCGUUCUCAUCUGUAAAUCUUUGCUCAUUUCAUUCUCUUCUACCUUCUUCUAUCGUUCUCUCUACUACAAGCCUCAUCGUUAUCAACAUCAUAAACCCCCAAAUCCUUUUCCUUCUUUCUUUUCGAAACCCUAGAAAUCUCUUUAUGAUUUCCCUAAACUUAAAUCUCCACUGAAAACCCUAGAUUUGGUCAUGACCAAAUUGAAAGCUUCAUCUUCUUCACGUUUGAAUGAUUUUGAUUCUACUUUAUCUUCUUCGUUAUGGAUUCCACGAAUCAACAUCAGAUCUCAGCAUCAUCCGUAGGAUGUAAGAUAUUUUGGUAUAAUCUUAUAAUACUACUUCUUAUUCAAAUCUUGAUGAUUCCUCAUAUUUCUGUGGUUAUUGCAGCUUGUUUUAAUAGUUUCAUUUUGAUCAUAAAGUCGUGUAUUCAACGAUGAAUUAUCAAUUUUGUAUGUUCCCUGGAUGGCCUCAUGGCCUCAACUAUCAAUUUUGAUUGCAAGGUAGAAAUUAAUAUCUUCUGUCAUUCUUUUACUGGACUUCCAGAUUCUUACGACAGCGUUUCUUAUAAGCUUGGGUUAAGGAGAUUUUAAACUCAGGGUUAUGGUUUCACCUUGGGCUCAUUUGUGUUCGUCGUAAUCGACUUGUUGAGCAUGUCUGAAGAGAACUACUAGUUUGUUAUUGUAGUGUAAUUUAUGGUACACAUGCAUUUUAUGGUGUUCAUAUUAUCUGGUUUAGAGUUCAAGUAGGUAAAGACGAUGAUUAUUGUGAUGGACAACAAUUCAAAUGGUUUAUUUUUCUUAUUUUAUUGCUAUUUUUACUUUGAUUUGGUGAUCAUAUCCUAUUCAAAUGGUACCUUACAUAUGUUCAUUAUUGGUAUAUGUUUCUGUUCAGUAAGUAUUCAUAGACUCUUUAACUCCUCAACUCACCUAAUUACUUACUCACAUGUUUAUCUUCUCUUACAGACAAUAUCAAUCUCAUAUCCUAAGACUAAAUGCAUUCGAUCGUCAUAAGAAGUUCUAGAAGAAUUAUGUUGAUUUUUACGGUACUGGAAGAAAAGUAGACUGUCCUUCUAAAACUAAUCAAGAUACUUUUGGAGAAGGUUACAGAGAUGAAGUGGACAUGACUGUGCUGAGGAGGAGGAAACUAAUGCCAUCUAGAAUCUAAGACAAACUAAAUAAUGAGUACGUCCUUCCUGACUGUCUAUGAAUUGCAUAACCUGAUUUUAGGGCCGAGGCUGAUAUCUGGGAAUGGAUCAUCAUAAGGUGAAUAUUUUCCCGCAGUCGUGGUUAAAAAGAUGGGCAUGAGAAUAUGAUGAGGCAAAACGAAGGGAAGAUGAAAUAAAUAACCUUGAGGUAUUUCACGAGGCCGGAAUGAAAAGGUUGGAGGUAGUUGCAUCUGCGAAAGAUCUCAGAUGAGGUGCACCUCUUGUAGGAAAAUGAGGAAUAUCUGAAGAGAUAGAGGUUCUCCAUACCCAGGUGGAUAGGAACCUUGAAGUGACUAGAUUUUCCAUGGAACUUCUUCGUUUGAAAGAAGAAGUUAGAAGGCAUGUGUUUCUUUCUUCAUCUCAAUCUGAGUUUAUACUCUUUGCACUAAAAAUUAUGCUACUCUUUGUCAUGUGAUGCUAGACUUUGUACUCAACAUUCAUAUGAUUUUUGUGGUAUGCUUCAUGAUUUUGUGUAUAUGGAGUUUUUCAUGGUAUAUCAUAGUGAAUCAACUCUAAGAACACU